GAUGAACGCUGGCGGCAGGCUUAACACAUGCAAGUCGAGCGAGCGGCGGACGGGUGAGUAAUGUCUGGGAAACUGCCUGGUGGAGGGGGAUAACUACUGGAAACGGUAGCUAAUACCGCAUACUAUAAGAGGUGCCCAGAUGGGAUUAGCUAGUAGGUGGGGUAAAGGCUCACCUAGGCGACGAUCCCUAGCUGGUUUGAGAGGAUGACCAGCCAAACUGGAACUGAGACACGGUCCAGACUCCUACGGGAGGCAGCAGUGGGGAAGAUUGGACAAUGGGCGCAAGCCUGAUGCAGCCAUGCCGCGUGUGUGAAGAAGGCCUGCGGGUUGUAAAGCACUUUCGGCGAGGAGGCGUUACUCGCAGAAGAAGCACCGGCUAACUCCGUGCCAGCAGCCGCGGUAAUUC
rnacentral:rRNA from 1 species